UGACCGGCAGCAAACAACGUGCCUGCCCACCCGCUGGAAGCCCCAUUAGCGCGCUCUGGCAGCGGCUUGGCGAGGCGGCCGCCGUCGGCCCGGGAGGGGCCCGGGCGGGACACGCACACCCAGCCCUACAGAGCACGGCGGCUCCGCUGGUGGGCACAGAGGCCCCCUCCCCGGCGGAGGGGCCCGGUCGCUGCCCUCGGGAGGGAAGCACGUAUCACACGAGCCGGCCGCCGCCGCCGCCCCGCCGGUUGGGGCGGUCGGAAGGCGUCACCCCGCAGGAGCCGGUCGCCACGGCGACGCGUGGAGGCCUUGCCCGCGCCGCCAUGGGCCCGAAGCGGCCUAAGACCGGCGGGGUCGCCUCCACGGGUGCUGCGGCCAAGAGCUGGGAGGCCGCGCUGGUGUCCGCCCACCUCGAGGAGGUGAAGGCCGCCGAGGAUCACUGGAAGCCUAGCAUUGCUUUCGUUGUUGGGACCAAAAUUGAGGAUGAAAUCCAUACCAAGGCCCUGUCUCUUGCUGUGCAGGUGCCACAGCGGAAGCUCUUCAGUGUGGUUACACGUGAAGACAUUUUCAGACAGAUCAGAGAAUCUGGAAAUCAAAAGGGAAAAAAGGUUAAGGAUGUGCCUAUGUACUAUGAGGUGAUAGAGGUAGCCAAAGCCAUUCUGGAUAGUGGUGCAGAAAUUCCCAUAACACUAACUGGAAAGCUGUUGAAAUAUCAACUGCUUUGUCUCAAACAGAAGGACCUUCAGAGAAGAGAAGCUGAAAAGAAGGCAGAAGAAGAGCAACAAAAGGAAAAAGAUGGAGGGCAAGAGAAAGCUAAACCUCCCAGAAAAGAGAACCUCUCUAGUGCCAAGACAGCUGAGAAAGAAAGGAAAGGAAAAAAGAAAGAAGUAGGCUUUCUAGCACCAGUCACUGUUAAAAAGGACACCCAACUGAAGCGACGGGGAGAAGUGGAAGAAGACAACAAAUGCAUCGAUGAUGAACCAGAUGAUGGUGCCCAUCAUUACUUUAUAAUUUUGGAUUUCCAUAACCCUCAGCUGUUGCCUGUGAUGUGUGAUCUUGGGAUUAACAUUUCAAGUGUAAUUAGAAUUUCUUCUGAGAAUUAUAAACCAUUGCAGACAUACUUGGAAGCAACUAAACUUCAGGAACAAUUUUUACUUUCACCUGAAGUUGUAGAAGCAGAGAAAAGAAAGAAAGAUGAAGCUAUCAAAGACUUGGAAACAUUUUGGAGAUACCUGGAGCCACUUCUGAACAGUGGAAAGCAUGGAUCAAGUCUCUUCAAUGUUGCCAGACUUCAUCACCUAGUUAAGGAGAGUGCCUUUCCCCCUGAUUGGUCUGACAGAGAAAUGUUGCUUGCAUUUGGCACUGCACUGUUUGAAAGCAUUGCGUGUUUAAUGUAUGACUGCCUGGACUGGAGAAGACAGCAUUGUAAUUACUUGGAAAACACCAAAUUUAUUAAUGUGCCUGCAUUAUCAGAGAGCAAAUCGACACAACCUCCUGUAACUGAGGUACAAUCAGCAUCAGAGAUUACACCUUCAAAGAAAAAAGGGCAAGGAGAAGAAAUUCUGCCAACAGUUAUUUUGUCACAGGAGGAAGAAGCUUCUACUUUGGCUGCUUCUGUGGACAUGAGGUAUUACAAUGACUUGCUGAGUCAGAUUCCGGAGGAAUACUUUUCUGUACCCUUAAUGCUGAACUGCAUGUUAGAACAGGUUAUUGCAAGUGAAGAAGACCUUACACCACCUAGUCUGGUGGUGCCAAAGCCCCGGGCAGAUGGGCUACAUCAUACCAUUGCAGAUCAUUUAGCCUCUGUCCUUCCUUCUCUUCCACUUUCUGAGAGUGAAAAAAAGAAUCUAUAUGACUACUUUUCUCCAAAAUACAGUGAAAAAACAACUGUCACCCCCAAAUACCCUCUCUUAUUUAACUACCAUGAUACCCUGGCUCAGCGGUUGCACCUGCUGAAGGUCCAGGAGAACUUAAAUCCAGAAAAGAUAGAACGUGAAAUGAUGGAUAAACUGCCUCUUACAAAACUUACCCAUUUCACCCUUCCUUCAACUGAAAAGAACACUAAACGCCUGGCCAGAGUUCACGAGCUCAUGCAUUAUUGUACCAGUGAACAACUGUGUUGGGCUGAAGUAGAAAGAGCCUUCAGAGUGUUUACUUUUGAAAGCCUGAGGUUGACUGGGCUGAGUGACUCUGGUCUCCUGGAGAGCUCUGGAUCUAUGGUUGGAGUUGAUUCUGAAGUGUCUUAUAUACCUUGGGAUAAUCCAGCCCAGUUUGCAAGACAGCUGAGACAACUAUUCCUUAUGGAAAAGAAGUUUAGUGGGAAAUCUCCAAGAGGCUCUGGACAUACAGAAACAAAUGGCAAAGAUGGAAGACAUGGUCUGACUGAUCCUGUUUUGAAUAAAGAAUUGGAUCCUUCUAUUUCUGAUAUGGUGAGUCUGGAAAAUUAUGGCCUAGGACCAAACUUAGAAGACAUAAAAAAGACACAGAGGCGUUGUUUGACAGACUGGAGUUUUGCUGAGCACUUUAAACCCCAUGUUCUUCUUCAGGUUCUUCAUACUGCAUCCCAAGAAUAUAGAUGUAUAGAUUCCUUUUAUCAUACCCAAGAUAACUCUUUGCUAAUGGUUCUUCACAAUCCUAUGAAUCAGUAUCGUUUCUGCCAAGAGACUUGGGAUAUUGCAUUGCACUCUAAUGUUGGAUUCAGGAACUAUCUUGAGCUGGUGGCCAACUCAAUAGAAGACUGGGUGAAAGAAGAGGAAGUCAAAUACCAAGAAGAGAAAAUGGGUAGCAUGUUAGGACCUGAGAGCGUAGUGGAGACUAUUCCAGAAUCCCAAUCCAACAAGGAAAGAAGUCCUUUUAUCAGAGAAGGCUCUCUAAAGGCUUGGAAGGAAGAGCAGGACCGAUUUCUAGAGGAAGAACAACUUACGGAAGCAAAAAAAGGAAAAACAGAAAAUUCAAGAGGUAAAAAGGAAGGACAGGAGAUAAUAAUACAUGAAGAAAGUAAAGGUUCCAACCAGAAACCCUCCAAAGAGAAGUUUAAAGAUGAGCCAGCAAAAGCCCCUGAACUUCAGGAGGAUCCCAGCAUCCCAGAACCACAUUCUGAGAAAGCUUAUAAGUUUCUUGGCUACAAUACAGGGGAGGAUCUCAUUCAAGUAUCAGGAACCACUCGAUAUCUUUUCCCAUCUGAUGGAGGACAGAUUCAAGUAGAGAAGAUAGAGUUUGUAAAAGAUGUAACUUUGGUAAAGGUGAAAGUGAUGAAAGACAACCACAAUUUCUUCAUUCAUAUCACAGACCCCAAGAAAAACUUAAAAGAAAUUGAAGUGCAAGAAAUUAAUGAAGAACAGAAAAUUAGAUCAGGAGAAUUGAAAAAUCAAAAGAAAGCUGUGAGCAAGUUUGGAUCUUUUUCAGCCACCUUGGAAAAUGGAAUCCAGCUGUCCCUGAGCUAUUAUGGACCUACAGGGAAGACAGCAGAUGAUGAAACAGAUCCUGUUUUAGCAAGAAUUCUGAACAUCCCUUCUGUUCAUACUCCGACCAUAAUUUCUCCUGCUACAUCAGCUUCAGGAAAAAAAGAUAAGUCUGUCAAACAAAAAUCAGGAAAGUCUCUGCCCUCUACAAAAGCAAGCCGUAGAAAAAUAGACCCUCCACCACCUGAUGACAUGGUAAAGCAAGAAGAAGGAAAGAUGGAAAUGGAAGAAUUAGCUUCCCAAACACAAGUGAUGUCAAACGCUCUUGCUUUCCAAAGUUUGAAUGUCUCCUCUCCCAAUGGACUAGUAUUAACUUUCCUGGGUGAAAGUUUUGGAGAUUUGAAAGGUGAAGCCACUACAGCUGAAGCUGAGCAAGAGAUAUUAAAGAAAAGUGAUGCCAAAGCAGAUGAAGCCAAGGAAGAGGAGGCUGAGAAAGGUGAGACCAAAGCAAAUGAAGCGAAGGAGGAAGAGACUAUGGAAAGUGGAGAGAAGGAACAUGAGGUUACAGAAGGUGAAAUAAAGCACAAGGACACAAGAGAACAGGCCAAGCAGCCUACUCUGGAAAUUCUGGUUAGGCAGUGUUAUCCUCAAAAGGUAAAGAACUCUCAUCUGUAUACAUCUGUGGCAAGGCAAACAGAACAAGAGGUGUCAAGAGUCAUCACCAGUCAAGGAACUGUCAUAAAGUACAUGAUGGAUGGAUCUACCCAGAUUCUGUUUGCUGAUGGCACAGUGAGUAGGAGUCCUGAUUCUGGCCCUGUCCUACCACCACCUACAAUUCCAGAUAACAUGCAACUGUUACCAGAAUUCGAGCCUUCACCUGAGACCAGUACUAAGAAAGGAAAAGGCAGUGACAGAAACAGUGUAUCACACCCAAUCAAGGAUGGGUUUUUUGAAAAUACUGUGCAGGGUCUGGUUAAUUCUGAGCAACCUAAGGAGAACCAGGCAGGAACCUGGAUAACAACAGCUCCAUCAGGCAUUCAAGUGGGCACUGAGGGUGCAAAGAGGAUGAAUCUGAAACCACUGUUAAUCUAUCAGGCAACUGACCCAGCUAAUGGAAUGGUUAUGACUGUACGAGAAGAUGAAGUGAUAAUUGUUGAGAAGCUAGAUGGUAGCAGAGUAGUAGAUCAUACUGAUGGUACUAGGAUCACAACUUUUUAUCAAAACUGUGAAGAACUUUUUGUACCAGAGGAUAAUGAGGGAACAGAUGAACCCUCAGAAGCCAUCACAAGGAAGGUGAAAUGCAUACAAGUAGAGAAUCCUGAGUUCGCUACUGUUAUAAUAAAUUGUGAGGAUGGUACCUGUUGUACCAUCUUUGGAGAUGGGACAUCUAUUAUAGCAAAGCCACAGGGAACAUACCAGGUUUUACCCAUCAAAACAGGCUCUCUUUUCAUUGAUGAAGAUUGCUCAGCAGUUUAUACCCAUGAUGUUUACAAUUUUAUCAGGAAGAAAGAAGAGAAACAAGCAGGGAGAUACAUUAUGAAACACACUUCCAGCACUAUUUGUGAGGUGACGGAUCCCGAAGGAAAUCUUUUCAAGGUCAUGGCUGAUGGCAGCACAUCUGUGUGUGUUCCUAGCAUUGGCUCUGAUGACAAGGAAGACAGAAGUUCAGCGUCAGCACUUCUGGAAGUUAACAAACCUAUCACUUAUGAUGAGCAUGUCCCCAGGUUCUUCAUCAUCUAUGCAGAUGGUUCUGGAACUGAGCUCCUGCGGAGCAGGGAUGUACACAAGUAUCUUGCCGAAGCCUGUGGUGAUCCUGCUGCUGCUGUCUUGCAGGAUCCUGUACAAGAACAUCCAGGUGUUUUAAGUAUUACUGUCCUCCGCCCAUUGGCUGAAGCCUCCCCCUGGGUAAUGAAGAAAGAACCAGAGAGUAUUGUUCCUCCAAAUCUUCAGUCAAGGACCAGGGACACAUUUGCUCCUCUUGAGAGGAAGAUCACAGGUCCCUCAGUCAGAACACAUAUUUGGAGGGGUCUCUGCAUUGGAUCCAAAGAGCAGACGUGUUUGCCAGUACCUGUGCGAAAAUGUCCUAAUAAACUGCAAAUCCGUCAGCUAUUCCAGUAUGAGCCUCUCGGUGAUGAACUAAGAGAAAAGCUGUGGCUUUCCCUUAAGGAAUAUAUAGACAAUACUUUAAAGCAGGAAAAUGAGCUGGAAGAGAUGAAUGUAAAAGAACCAAGAACAGAAGAGGAAAAGGAGAAUGCUGCAAGUCUCCUUGAACUGGUUACGUCCUUUCCUGACAGAGAGAAGUCAAGUGAAAAUCUCAGUGAUAGAGCUCACAUAACUGAGCUUUAUGAACAGGCAGUGGCUUCUCAUCACCAGUGUCACACAGAGAAGACAACCGCUACCCAAAGAGAGGACCAACGGCAGAGGUUCAGCCCAGAAGGAGUAACACCAGUGUCCAAGUGGCAGAGCAGACUAGAAGAGUACAGGAAAGAACUUGAUGAAGAAAAGAAAUCCUUAAUGGCAAUAAGAAACAAAGUAAUUCCUCCAUAUUUUGAAUCAGAAUUCAGCAAGCAGUUUUUCCUGAAAAAGUUUCCUGAUGUGGAAGCACUGUCUAUGGAACUUCCUCCACUUAAAAAAAAACAAAGCAGGAAUUUCCCUCUAGAGAUGAUGAAAACACCCAGUAGAGCAUCUGAGUGUCUCAAUACCAUGAGUGAUCCCUCACCUUCACCUGGCCUUCUGCUGCAGGCUCAUUCCAAACAAAACAAAGGUUCCAGCAGCACAAAAGACCUAAACAAGGCUGCAAGGUCACAAGAGAUACCCUUUCAACGUAAAGUUCAGAAUCUGCUGGUGAAUGCUGCAGGACAGCCAAGAAAAGAGACAGUGAAAUUACCAUCAUCCCUUCAGGGGAGAAAACCAAACUCCAUACCAAAUAAAAAGAUAGAAGAUCCUGUAGCAGGAAGGGUCAACACAUCUUCUCUUGCAACAAGACAGCAUCUUAGUGGCUUCCAUCUCAUUCCACCCAGAGUGAUGUUUGGAGUACUGAAGGAAGGCUGUACCUAUGCAACCACUGUGAUCCUGAAGAAUGUUGGUGUGAACUUCUCCAGGUUUCGGGUGAAACAACCACCUCCUCACACAGGGCUGAGAGUGACGUACACACCAGGACCUGUGGCAGCAGGCUUGCAGGUUGAACUGGAGAUAGAGAUUUUUGCCAUGGUAAUUGGAGGGGAAGAUACUGGUGGCCUUGAAGAAAUUUCCCAUGAUAUUGAAAUAUUAACAGAAACAGAGACUCUUCUCCUGCCUGUGAAAGCAAAUAUCCUUUGCAAUGACACUUACGAGUGCCGCCCACAAGGGUACCCUAAGGGUGGGAUGGCAGCAACAGUCCAGGCCGUUCCUACAAGCCCCAAGCCACGGUUCCGGAUUACACUACCCCGUAAGCUUUCUAAUUAAUGAAAGUCCUGGAAAUUCUGAUGUCAUCUCCCAUUAGAAGCUCCACGUUGAGAGGAAUUAACUACAUGGUCAGAGCCCUGGAAGAAUAAGAUGAAGAUAAGCAAUACUGGAAUACCUGAAUUUUUGUCCAAUGUAAUGGAAACAUCCCAAUGUAGACUUUUUCAUUUAUUUAAUCAGAUUAACGUGAAUAAAUACUUUGUCCCCUA